CCACCAGCCAUCUCACCAAAGACAGGAGGAGUAAAUGAAAACACAGGUGUUUCUGCAGGAAGAGAUCUCUCCACUUCUCCUAAGGUAGUUAGGGGGGAAAAGAGAUGAACUUGAAUUCAGAAGGAUAAAGGUCACAGGUCCCCCAGCCAACAGACAGGAUUGGAACUGGCAUAUUCAUUAAUUACGUGCUCUCUGGACCAUAUUCCAUCUCAGAUGCCUGGGCUGCUGCUUUUCUCAAGGGCAUCAAGUUUCAGUAGUUCCUGUUGUAUUUUAUAGUUCUUUCUGUGCCUUUCAUUAAAUGCCAGAGUUCUGAAAUAGUUUGUUUGCUUUUAUUUUCGUUGUUUGAGGGGGAGUGAGUUCACUGAGGUCUUCACUCUGCCAUUCUAUAAGUCAGUCUCCAGGUGUGUGUUUUUAUAUCAGGUGUGUUUAACUGUGUAUAACUUUAGGAGGAGAAACUAGGACUACAUUCUGUCUUGCUAUUGGCUAGGGAAGUUGGGAGUGGAGUCUAAAUGAAGGCAAUAGAAAAUAGAAAUAUAAAGCAAAAGAGAUGGUCAAUUCCUAUACCCAUGAGAGCAAAAAUAAAGGCAGCAAUUGAGGCACUGGUCAAAAUAAAAAAGCUGUUUAGAUUCUUUAUCCUUUCUAACCAUCAAGAAUACCUACAACUGUCCUGUUUCCCUGAAUCUCUGUUCUUGUUGCCUACUCUCUCCCUGUCCCCCUUCUGUAGGCCGUUGAAGUUUGAAGCUAAUCACAAAAUCCUAAUCUCUUCAUAGGUGAAUGGAAAGGAAUUUAACAGUACCUUAUUGUGUGCCAGGCAAUGUUCUAUAACUUCAUUUGAUCCACAAAACAACCUGAGAAGUAAAUACCAUUAUUUCCUUUUUACACUGAGAAACUGAACCUUAGUUAAGUAACUUGCUCAAAGUGAUAAAACUGGUAUUGACAGUGCCAGGAUUAAAAUUCAUGUUUUUUGAGUCUAAAACUCACGUUUCCCAUUGUGCCUUUCUAUCUCUAGAGAGGUAUUUCCAGUUUCAACUUAGAACUCUAAAUACAUUUCUCCAUAGAAAUAUUGUUACUCAUGGUGAUUGAAUUCUAUUGUAGUGAAGUAUAACAUAGCUAUUUUUUAUGUUGUUUUGAAGGUAGUGUUCCAUUGUAGACAUAUUGUGGAAUAAAUGAUCUUUAUGGGGAAAACUGAGCAUUUUACCACCAUGCUUCUCUUGGAAAAUGCCUCCUCAUGUUCAGAUACACAAUCAGUUGUAUUCACAGUAACCUUCUGCUGAUCUGGAAGUUAGUUUGGAUAACUCAACUGUGUGAAAUACAACUAUGAAAGAUUAAUUUUUAAAAAGAUUGUUGAUAUUAUUAUUAAGUGAGAAAAAACAAAGUGUAUAACUGUAUAGUAUGAUAACUUUUGUAUGUAUAAAGUUUUAUUUAAAAGGCUUUAUUCACACACAUAUAUACACGUAGACAGACAUGCAUGCUCCUAUACAUUAUGGAAGGACUCACAAGUAACUUUGAGGAGAAAGAUCUUGAGGGGAUGGUGGGUAUGUACAAGAUUGAAGGAGGCAUUUCUUUUCCUUUUUCCCCUUUCUAUGUUGUUUAAAUAUUUGAAUUUUAUAAAAUGUUUUUCUUCUCUCUUUGUUAUACUCAGAGGCUAUUGAGUAAUGAGAUCAUGGAUCUUUUUUAUUGUUGCUUUUUGUACAAGAUACCAGAUGACAUUUCCCCCCAAAAUUCAUCCCUCAAAAUAGAGAAAGUUACUCUCAGGUUUGACCAUCAGUAUUAGCUUCGUGGUGGCCUGGGUUUCCAUCAGACACCUCAGUGUUGUGCACUGGGAACCACGCAUAGAGGCUUAAGAAUAGAAAACUUGAUCUUCUGUUCCGUUUCCAUAGCACAAAUCUUUUUAUUUUGUAUAUUUAUGUAAGAUUUCAUUUGGAAAAAAAAACUGAACCAUUGCCC